AAUUCUCAACCUCUCUAGUUUUUUGACUAGUAGAUGGCUUGGAUUUGGGAGUAAUUUUUGCAGGCUUUCACAAGUCAGCUCUCCUUAAAUGUAUUAGCCGGUGCCCUCUAACCGUCUAUUGGUGUGAUAAUUAUCUACGCCGUGGACUAUUAGACUUUGGUUGCGCUGCUUAUAAUCGUCCUCUGGACAAUAUUAUGACAUU
rnacentral:misc_RNA from 1 species